UUGUUGGUAAGGUAAAAGCUUACCAAGGCUUCGAUCAGUAGCUGGUCUGAGAGGACGGCCAGCCACACUGGGACUGAGACACGGCCCAGACUCCUACGGGAGGCAGCAGUGGGGAAUUUUGGACAAUGGGGGCAACCCUGAUCCAGCCAUGCCGCGUGGGUGAAGAAGGCCUUCGGGUUGUAAAGCUCUUUCAGCCGGAACGAAACGGUUACGGUUAAUACCCGUGACUACUGACGGUACCGGAAGAAGAAGCACCGGCUAACUACGUGCCAGCAGCCGCGGUAAUACGUAGGGUGCGAGCGUUAAUCGGAAUUACUGGGCGUAAAGCGUGCGCAGGUGGUUUUGUAAGUCAGAUGUGAAAGCCCCGGGCUCAACCUGGGAACUGCGUUUGAAACUACAAGACUAGAGUGUGGCAGAGGGGGGUGGAAUUCCGCGUGUAGCAGUGAAAUGCGUAGAGAUGUGGAGGAACACCGAUGGCGAAGGCAGCCCCCUGGGUCAACACUGACGCUCAGGCACGAAAGCAUGGGGAGCAAACAGGAUUAGAUACCCUGGUAGUCCAUGCCCUAAACGAUGUCAACUAGUUGUCGGGCCUUUACGGGCUUGGUAACGUAGCUAACGCGUGAAGUUGACCGCCUGGGGAGUACGAUCGCAAGAUUAAAACUCAAAUGAAUUGACGGGGACCCGCACAAGCGGUGGAUUAUGUGGAUUAAUUCGAUGCAACGCGAAAAACCUUACCUACCCUUGACAUGUAUCGAAGCCCGCAGAAAAGCGGGGGUGCCCGAAAGGGAACGAUAACACAGGUGCUGCAUGGCUGUCGUCAGCUCGUGUCGUGAGAUGUUGGGUUAAGUCCCGCAACGAGCGCAACCCUUGUCAUUAAUUGCCAUCAUUUAGUUGGGCACUUUAAUGAGACUGCCGG
rnacentral:rRNA from 1 species